CCCCGAAUAGCUCAGCCUGGCUAGAGCGCGCGACUGUAGAUCGCGAGGUCCCGUGUUCAAAUCACGGUUCGGGGACCA
rnacentral:tRNA from 1 species